rnacentral:lncRNA from 1 species
AUUCUCAUGACAUCAUUUGGCAGCGGCUGCUUUUUUCAGCAGAAUAUUCUCCAUAACUGAAAUAUUGCACAAGAUGGCACAGCAGCUGUGUGAAAAGCUGGAUGAUUUCAAAGCAAUCUCCAGCUUUGUGGUUGUCCGAGUUUCAAAAUAGAACUAGUGUGAUUUUGCAGCCUGCAUAAAAGGCUGUGGGCUAUAGAAGCUGGCUCCAAAUCAAAUGCCAAAUAAUGCCACCAUGUAUUGUACUUUAGACUUGUCAAAAACUGAACAUUUAGAUAACACUUGCUUUGACUCAACAAAUAUUUAUUGAGCACUCAUUGUAUGCAACAUAGUUUGUUUCAUGCUAAUCCCUGGAGCAAAAAUAACAGUCUCAAAGUUUAAUCAGCAAAAAAUUUACUGCACACCCAGCAGGAUGGUUCCCUCCAAUACCACUGUAAUUCUAUGUAGUGAACAUUCAUCUAAGCCAUAGAAGCAGUGAGUGAAGAUAAUUAAAUGGGUAUAAUUGGGAGAGAGUUAGUAUUUCUGACAGAUUAGUCACGCUAAUUCCACAUCAGUUCCUCUUUUGAUGAAUAAGGCAAGUCAUCUGUGUGGUUUGACAGUGCUGUUGAUCCCAACAGAAUAGUAUACCACUAAGUGUAGAUUAAUUCUCAAUUAAUUGGAAACCAAUUAAAGACAAACAGAAAAUAGAGUUUAUUUUAUGCUAAUAUUAUCAUUUCCAAGACACAGGAGUGAACACAGAAGAUAAAUCUCAUAUUUACAAGGUGAGUGCUUAAAUGAGUCCUUGUGUGGAGGGAGCUAGACCAGGGUCAGAUGCCAUGGUGCAAUUGAGGAGAGGGUCCAGGGCUGAAGACUGAACCAAACUACAGUAUGCAACAUAGUUUGUUUCAUGCUAAUCCCUGGAGCAAAAAUAACGUAUGAUAAAUCUCAAUAAGUGAAUAAAGACAUGAACCCAAGUUAGGACUGGACACCAAAUCAGAAAACCCAGAAAAAAAUUAGAGCUGAGAACAGUAUAAACAAAAGUUAAUAUGAUUUGAAUGAUAGAGGAGGGACGUAGAGAGGAGACAUGAUUAUUAUUUUCUUUUUUAUUUUCAUUUAAAAGUUAAUGCAAAUGUCAGGCUUCAGGGCUCUGCCAGAAAUUUAUAUCCAAGGCUGACACAUAGGAUUAUUUUCCUUUCUGUAAAUGGGCCCUUGAGAAAAGCCAUAUCUAAGUUUGUACCUAUUUCAUCUUCUAAGCAGGAAAGAACUAGGUUUUAGCCCAUCUGCUACAGUUUAUUGCUGAGUGUGGAAACAGAUCACCAGUAAAGAAUGGAGGGCAGAAAUGCCCACUCAGCAUCCAUUCUCCCCCUAUAUUUGGUGCUUGUCCUCUCUUGAGCCCUUUACCACUUUUUCUUAUUUAUAUUUACCAAAGUGGAGGGGGCAGGUAGCUCUGUGGUGAGGUAGACAGAUGCUUAGGGAAGAAUAAUAGGGAUCAUCCCAUGCUUAAUUUCAAUUGUGUGCUCUAGAGUCAAAAUAAAAAUUGUACCAAGAUUUAUUUUCAGCAGCUGAGCUUGUAUUGUUGCCAAAUAUAAAGACUGUAUUGCCAACAUGUAUGAUAUUAUAAGUAUUCUUAGUAGCCAAGAAGUCAUAUGAUUCUGCAUUCAGAUAAAGCACGGAGGAGUAAAAUUUUAUUGAAUUACCUUAGUAUAUUAAGAUUAUUAAUACAAUUCAAGAAAUAUUAAUUGAGAGCACUAGAAAACAAAAUGAACAUUCCACUCCAUCAUGGAGCUAAGAGUUUAGCAUGAAUAUAUAUAGUUGGCAACAAGUAACUUAAGUGUUUUGAAAGCAGGCUUGUGGAGAAAUUCGGUAGGCUCUUUUAGAGCAGUGAGUUAAGGAAAUAUUUCCUGAGUAACUCCUAGCAUAGUGAGUUAAGGCAGUCUUUCCUGAGUAAUCAGUAGUUAGAUUAAAACUUAAAAACCUGAUAGUUUGGUAAACACACACGUUGUGGUGACAUGUACUUUCUCCAGCACUGUGGUAAUCUGCAGCUACAAAUGUAAAAUGAGCAAGCUGAGCAAAAAUAAAAUUCCUGGCAUCAGAAAACCACCAUAAUAGCAUCAGUGAUUAAAAAAUCAUAGGAAAUGGGUGAUGUUAUCAGUGUAGGUGAGGCAAGUCACCAGUAACUAUCACUCAUGAACACUUGGAGUUGUCAGAUGUUUCUUAUAGCUUUGUUCAUUUAAUCAUGACCACAGCCUGGGAAGAUGGAUACUAACAUCCCCUAGGAAGAUGGAUGGAUGUUACCAGUGUUGAACAUCUAAUCAGGUAGAGACUGCUUUCACAAACAGGGCUGAUUUCAAAGCUCCUAACACCUUUUAUCCAAAAUUCCUUUACUAGAGCCUUACUGCUACUUGAAUACAUAUAUAAGGAGAUUUAAAGAAUUUAAUGGUUAGUUGUAAGAGCUGCCCUUUGAAACCUGUAACACAUCCCUUAACCGCUUUUGAUUUCAGCUGCACCUGGAUGUGCAGUCCCAAUUCACACCAACAGUGCACUUCAAGCAUGCCUGACAUACCGUUUUUCUGCCUCUGAGUUUUCCCUCAAGCCAUGGGGAUUUUCUCGGGCCUGGGUGAGUUUGUGGGCAUUAUAGUACCAUCUGAAGUAAACCCUUACCCAACGGAGGAUGGAGGAAUAGUUCUAGGCACGUUCCACAUGGAUCCUCAGAGGGCCCUAGAAUACUGAGACUCAGCUGUACACAGGUAACCAGCUUAAUAAGGAAAAAUUCAUCUUUAUUGUUUCCCCAUCUCACUCUCCCUACUCCUUUACUCUUGCUUCCUGAGAUUAUCUCCAGAAGAAAUCACCUGCGUCCCAGUCCUUAUCUCAGGUUUUGCUAUCAGGGGAAUUUAAACUAGGAUAAUGGUUUUAAGCAUUGAAUUCUUACUAACAAUUUUACAGUGCAUUCCUGUUAGAACCUGUUAUAUCUUCAGCAAAAGCAAUACGUUCUGGUAUUCUAUUUGAAUUUUACUACCAUAUGGGAGUGCCCAGAUACUUCAUG